UAAUGGCUGUUUUCAGCUCGUGUCUUGAGAUGUUGGGUUAAGUCCCGCAACGAGCGCAACCCUUAUCUUUAGUAGCCAGCACGUUAAGGUGGGAACUCUAGAGAGACUGCCGGGGACAACUCGGAGGAAGGUGGGGAUGACGUCAAAUCAUCAUGCCCCUUAUGAUUUGGGCUACACACGUGCUACAAUGGUGGAUACAAAGGGAAGCGAAAGGGUGACCUGGAGCAAACCUCAGAAAGUCCAUCCCAGUUCGGAUUGUAGUCUGCAACUCGACUACAUGAAGUUGGAAUCGCUAGUAAUCGCAGAUCAGAAUGCUGCGGUGAAUAAGUUCCCGGGA
rnacentral:rRNA from 2 species